CCAGAAUGGCGCGUCUUCGUUGACGUGCAAACCAAUUUCAGUUUAUGGGAUCGAAUUGCAAAAGUACUCAAGACCUUAAAUUACAAAAGAAGUGGUAAACUUCAGCACGUUGAGCCUAAAUGCAAAUUUAUUUCGGUGUCUUCCUUCUGGAAUCCUAUAUCCGCUGAUUGACAUAUCCAGGUAGUUAUAAAUUUCUUGGUUGAAGGUGGUCUGACCACCUAUAAUUCCCUUGGAUAGCUCAAUCCGAAGAUCACUUUCUUUAUCGAGUCAGAGUCACAGGACGCUACAGCACAUAAACAGACUCCUUAAAAUCAUUAACCUGCCUCGGUCUAUGGAACUGCCCUCCAUACACCUCCCUUCCAUGUCCCCAUCCAAAGUCAAAUGUUGAGUUCAACCUCGUAUCCCACGGAAUGAUGGAACAUCCACGAGUUCGUAUUCCACCAUUAGAAAUCAAUGUAGCUUACACCCCCCAGCAAUGACUGUAGCUGCACUCACUCUAAAUCCUAUGGCGAUGGCAGAAGCACCAGGUCAUUUAGUCAGUUUAAAAAUAUAUUCUUAAAAGGAAAAUUAAAGGCUGCAAUCAAUUGGAGUUCAGAAGAAGGAUACCUAGUAAUUUUGUACGCUGUCUGCAUGAUGUCAUUGUUGAUCACUGGCUCAGCUACCUCAUCUUCAAUGCCAAGUGAAUGAACCUUCUUGACCAACCUCCUAUGCAGGACCUACUUAAAAACCUUGCUAAAGAUCAUGCAGACAAGAUCCAUGGCUUUAUCUUCAUCAACUCUCCUGAGUCCUAUGGUAUGGAGCUGUUUAGGACAUACCGUGACAGAACCCAAUGGUAAAGAAUGAUUUCAUCCUGCCUGACAGUGCCCAACAUCGAAACCACGGGCCGAGUUGCUAGUUUGAUGCUCAAGCCAGCACAGAUGGAAGACAUGCAAGGAGCCAGCCGCAUUCAAAUCUGGGACCACUUGCCUUGAAAUCCUGUGUGGAUGCCUCUAUACCCCCUCCAUCUAUCAGCCUCCAAUACUCCAGAGGACACACUCCAAACAACUAACACUCUCCAAUCCAGCCAACAUCCUGGUGAACCUCUUCUGCACCCCGUCCAACACCUGUCCGCCUUUUCCAUAAUCUGGUAAUCAGAACAGAAUACCCUACUCUAAAUGUGGUGUAACCAAAAAUUUUAUUUAGCUUGAUUACAGCAAGGGGAGUUCUACGCUGACCAUCUGUUACCUGGUCACUGGGCAACCAACAACUGCAAGAGAAACACAAGACAGGUGUAAUGCCUGUGUAAUUUGUAAGUCUAAAGCUUCACCUUAUGGCAUUAUGAAUCUAUUAUGUGAUUUCUAAAACUGUCAGGAUGUCAUAAUUUACCAAACCACAACUCGACACUGAGAGCCUAAUUGGAGCUUUUGAGGAAGAAAAUGAUUUUUGACACUGAAAAAAAAAUGAUGCUGUUCUCAGGGUGCUGACAUCAACCACCAGCUCUCUCAAAUAAUCUGUCACUCCACAGGAUCUUCCUAUUGCUUCAAGGGCCUGACGAGAACAGUGAAGUGAUGCUGUGGUAACACAAUGAACCAGUGGUGCAAUCAGGGAACUAGCAUGGGUCAGUAUAAAGGCCAAUUUAUACUUCUGCGUUGAAUCUAUGACGGGGGUACGGCAUAGCCGUGUACCCUACGCCGUACCCUACACCUUAGCCUGAUGCGCACCUCCCCAAAAAUGUAACUACGUGUCGCGGCGAUGCAGACCGCAACAACUGUGAUUGGUCCGCUUGGUAGCAUCGUUUUCCUCCUACGCAUUUCCGGUUGUUUCUUCUUCUCCGCCAUUUUCGAAUUGCAAGAGAAGAGAGAAGAAGAACAUGAGUUGGAAAAUGGACCAAAUCGAGGAGAGGUUAAUUGAGAAAGUCCGAAAAUAUGUACAUACAAACACGAAGAAACUCAACACAGUGGCAUAGAAACUCCACCGCCAACUAGCGUUUUGGCGGUGAAUUGCAGAGUGACUCAGACACAUCAAUGCACAGGUAUAAAUGCUCACAACGGCUUAGGCCACUUGCACAGGCUACAGUGCAGAGCCUACGCAGAAGUAUAAAUCAGCCUUAAGAAAGCAGAAAGAUUUUCAUUCACAUUCUGUGGCCACUUUAUUAGGUACACCUGGUCGUUAAUGCAAAUAUCCAAUCAGGCAUUCAUGUGGCAGUACCUCAUUGCAUAAAGGCAGGCAGAUAUGGUCAAGAGGUUCAGUUGUUGUUUGGUCCAAACAUCAGAAUGGGGAAGAAAUGUGUAACCACUGGGAAAUCUCACCUGUUGUGGACAGAACGAAGGCGCUUGACAAAAUGCUCCCCCAGUUUUUGUCUGGACUUACCGAUUUAGAGCAGACUGCACUGGGAGCACUGGAUACAGCAGAUGACCUUGACAGACUCCAACCUACCUACCUCCCUCCUCACUUGGCUUCACCUAUCACCUGCCAGUUUCCACUCAUUCCCCUCCACCAACCUUCGUAUCCUGCUUCUGCCCCUUACCUUUCCAGUCCUGAUGAAGGGUCUUGGCCCAAACUUUCACUGUUAAUUCUCCUCCAUAAAUGCUGCUUGACCUGCUGAGUUCCUCCAGCAUUUUGUGCGUCCAACCCUUUAAUGCUGACUAAGAUGUCUAUUUGAGCUUGUCUCAUUUGCUUGUACUUGGCCCAUGUUUCUCUAAAUCUUUUCUAUUUAUGUACCUGUCCAAAUGUCCCUGAGGAUCAAGGUAUCAAAGGGGCACCCCCUCUAUUACUCACUAUUAUUCACAGAUGACACUGGACAGCAAAUCUUUCAUUUGAUAUGGAAAUACUUAGCUGUGUCUGAAACCUUCCACGAGUGCACGUACUUUGUGAUAUGGAUUUACCAGGUGAGCACCCCAUUUUUCCAUGAAAACACAAGAAAAUACAACCAGGAGUAGAUCAUCAGUGCCUCACCAUUCAACGUGAUCACAUCUGGUCUCUGUCAGUUCCCUCUAAUCCUCAAUCCCAUGAUCUGCUCUCUGCUAUUGAAAGUGGUUUGAUCAGCCGGGAGGCUGUGGACAUUGAUAUCCUCAGAUGAGUAUUGCCGUCUCUCUCUGGGGUUUGACCUGAAAUAAGAGUUCUGUCCACCUAGCCACAUGCUCUUAGACCAGGCAUUCCCAACCUGGGGUCCGUGGACCCCUUGCUUAAUGGUAUUGGUCCACAGCAUAAAAAAGGCUGGGAACCCUUGCCUUAGAUGAAAGAAAACUGACGGUAAAGUACUGAGCACAGAGAAUUCAAGAGAAAGGGAGGGUUUAAAACAUCCCUUUGUGUGGUGACAAAUGCUUGCUGGGCAUACUCUGUAAUCUUUGAAAACAGGCCUGGCAGUACAUCCUGCUCUGAACUUGUAGCU